UACAUGUGGUGGGCCCCACAUGUUUGUUGCUUUUUGGGUUCCUCUAACCAUUCCUUCGUUUUCCCCUUUCUCUGUUUCUCCAUCUGGAGCUGAGGCGUUCCCACCCCAGGAGCUCAGGUUACCGCGAUUCGAAUAUUUCCUCCCUUGCUGUUCUUAUUCCCUUGUAUUUUUUUCAUGUUUUUGCUCUGCUGUUUGGCUGAUUUUGAUCGAUUGCUGCUGUGCUUUGGUCCUGUAGUUGUUCCUCAUCAAAACUCAUUCCGUUCUCUGUUCAUGAGAUUAGUUUAGUCGAUAUGAUGUUUGGUUUUAUUCAGCUUGACCCCGGCCACUCUGUUCGGUUGUGUAGCUUCGUCUGUUCUCUGUAGCGUUGCUCUGUAGUCUGAUUUCUCGAUCUAAAUUGAUUUGUUUGAUUUUGUUGCUAUAGAUCUACUUAAUCUGUAUGUUCACCCACUUGAAUCAUAGUUGGAUUUGACUGCUUAGGGCUAGCUCGUUUGUGAUUUAUUAUUUGGAUACUUUUUCCCCCUUUGUCGAGUCGCUGAAUGAUCGUAGGUGGGGCUGAACAUUUUUUUAGACUUUUGGAAUGCAUUGCUUUCGAGCUACAUCAUCUGAACACUUCGUUCUCUGCUGAGCACAUGAGUGCCAGUUGAGGAGAAAUUGUGUAGGAUUUAGAUUAUUUUCCUUUUAUACGCCUAAGAUUGGUGAUUUGUGGCUCUGGCUCUGAUUUUAGUUGAUUCAUUGAAGGAUGAUUGCCCAUCCAUUUCUGUUGGUUGGAGUUUAUUCUUAUUCCAUGUCAAUUGCACAGCACAUGUUUCAUGUUUGUUUUAGGUUUGAAUCCGUUUGUUCUGAGUUCUAUAUGCCUGCAUUUGAUUGGGGUUUGGUUACUUUGUUUCUCGACUAAUGCUUCAACUUGUAUUCCAUUUGACCAUUUCAUUAUUGGCUAGUAAGCUUGAUUGUUCAUGUUCUACUGUUUCAGCUACCACUAUCGAUUUCAAAUUUCAUGGGCCAGUUGGUUUCGCACGUAGAUCUGUGACUCUUUCCAGUAGCUUUGUAUAUGGUUGUGUACUUUGAGGAAACAACCUUAUUUCAGUUCAUUUAUAAUGAAUGUGGUUAUAGUUUUUCUCUUCCUCUCAAUUUUUUCUGUAUAUUCAACCAGAAUGCAUAGAUAGCAGGAUAUGCUAGUUUCUCCUAUGUAGGGAUAAUCGCUAUAGAAGGAUUUUGAACCGGUAUAGCAGUGAUAUACCAGACUGUAUAAUGAAGAGCAUAAGCUACUGAUAAUGAAGAAACUGGAGCACCAUGCUUAGUAGAAAGGGGGAUCUAUCACAGUAUAUAUCAUUGCAUGGGAGAGGUAACAUAUGUUGUUGUGAAUUGAAAUGAAGGUACCUGGGAAUGUUAAUAUACAAAAAUAGGAGAAGCGCUGGUCUGCUAUUUGUCUUCUCAAUUUCAUCAAUCUUUAAUAUGAUUUUUCACUUUUUACACAUGUUUCUAGUUUCUUCAAUAUUCAUGUCUAUAAUAGUUCUGCAAUUAUAGUUUGGUGAAAACCUAGAGAGCAUCUGGGUGUUUCUUUUGUCCUCACCAAGAAAUUUUAUACAUGUGCGAUCGGCUGCUAUUAUAGGUUCAGAUACAGUUAACUUGCUCUAAUUUUACAGUGAAAUUGUAACCGUCAAUUUUCUAUUCCUAAUCUGUAAUUAGAGAGCAAUAUAAAUGCAAGUAAAUCACCUCAAAUACAUUGUUGCCUAAUACCAAUUCAGUGAAUGGCUGCGGUACCACCUGAGGAUCUGAUAAAAGUUUAAUGUCAGCCAACUUACAUCAACUAUAUGCUACAUUUACAUGAGUUUCUGUACUGUCAUUUCAAAGUAACUAUGGUGUAAGUUAUUACUCCCUUGUAUGUAUUUCCUGUUAAAAUGAGUUAUGUCCUGAUGUUUUAGAUGUGAAUCUUUUUUAAAUUUUAGUUUUUAGAAUUUGACAGUACUGUUUUUUACAUUAUCAUUUUAACAUAACCAAUGUGUCAGUCAUUACCCAUUUGUAAUGGAUUUUAAUGUCAAAAUAGCUCUGCAAUUAUAGUUUGGUAAAACCUAGAGCACAUUUGGGUAUUUCUUUUGUCCUCACCAAGAAAUUUUGUACAUGUGCGAUCAGCUGCUAUUAUAGGUUCAGAUACAGUUAACUUGCUCUAAUUUUACAGUGAAAUUGUAACCGUUAAUUUUCUAUUCCUAAACUGUAAUUAGAGAGCAAUAUAAAUGUAUGUCCAGAUAUGUGUUUAAUUUAUUAGCAUGGGUGAUGAUAAUCUAUAUUUAUGUUCCAUUUAUCUUUUUUUUUUUGCAGAUUCAUUUCUUUUAAUUAAUCUUUUCUCUCAUCUCUAUGCUGCUGUUCAUUUCUAUAUUUGUAUAUACUCAAUCGUUUUAUCAUUUUAGGGAAAUAUCUUAUUUCUAGAGAUUUAGAGCUUUAGCUAGCGCUGUUUGCAGCAAACUUCACUUAAAUGUAUUACACAUUUGUCAAGAUACGUGCUUCUCCUCAAGGUUGUAUUCUUCAUUAGAUGGGAAGUAGAUGAACUAUAUGUUUUCCUCAAAGAUAUAGUUUAAAAUUCAGUUGACCUCUUAUGUUAUAGCUCCUUGAUAAUUCAUAGUGUUAUUACUUACUAUGCAUUUGCUCUAUAAUUAUGGUGCCAUGACUAGUGUAAUUUGUACAUAAUGUAUAUGUAAUAGUCCACUAUAUUUGUAUAUGCCUAUUUGCCAUAUGCAUCUGUAGGGUUUCACUCAUUACCCAAACUAUCUGUUGUUUGAUAGACUAUAAAAAAUUCUGAACAUUUGAUAUUUUUCAAAUUUGUCAUUUGUAUUUUAGGAUUUCAAUUUGGACCCAAACUAUCUGUAAUUUGACAUGGCAUAGAAUCUAGAUUUUUUUUUUAUUUCAAGAUUAAGAUUUCAUUUCUACUUGCAGCUGAGAAGGCCUCUGGUCAGUUCUUUUGUUGCUUUUAUAUCCUUCCCUAUAAAUUCCUUUUCUUAUGAAUCUAGAAUCGAUCUGAUAUACUUCUUUGUCUUUCUAGUGUAAUGAUGGAUUUUAUCCAUCUGAAUGUUUGACUAGAUCUGAUUAUAUUCAUUACAUCUGAAAGUUUCUAUUAUUGUUUGAAAGUGAUUCAUUACAUGUAUCUGAAAGGCAUUCUCAUUUUUGUGCUGCCUGUUAAUUUCCAGUUGCAGGAUCAAUCAACUUAUGUUUAUGUUUUCCACAUUAUUGGCAUCCAAAUUGGUGAGGAUAGUGACUCGCACAGUUAAAGAAGCAUGUGGUGUUCCAACUGUGGCUAUGUGCCGGAGUGUGGAUGUGUCUACGACGUUAGAGAAGCUAAAAUCAUUUUUGCAACUCUUGUGAAUGCCAACCUCCAACCCUGCAAAUCAAGAACCAUGUUCAGACUGUGGUCAGGAGACUGGGCAUCUGAAGAUAUUUUCAGCUCUGCAGCCAUUAAGCACUCUUUUUCUUGUUUCAAGUGAUGUGAAAGUGGCAAAUACAAUCUGAUGAAUAUAUUUGGUGCUAGAGUUUCUCGUGUGUGAGCCUAUAAAAUUUUGUUAGCUUCUGAUCAACAGCCUAUGAAACUUUGUUAGCUUAUUAUCAGCUUUGAACCUAGAGAUGCAGAGUCCAUGCACAAGUUCAGUCAUAUUCUAUUUUCUAAUCUGACUGUAAUACGACUAUUUUUAACUGAUGAACCAAAUUCAGAAUAUGAUGUUUU